ensembl:miRNA
UUGGUGGGAGCUCGGAGAGUGCAGCUGUGGGUGUCAGGGUCAGGCACACGCACAGCACCUCACUGAGCUCCUUCCAA